ACGAACGCUGGCGGCGCGCUUAAGACAUGCAAGUCGAGCGGGGGGACCCAGAGCAGCUUGCUGUGAGGGUUCCCUAGCGGCGGACGGGUGAGUAACGCGUGGGCAACCUACCCGCGAAUCGGGGACAACAGUGGGAAACCGCUGCUAAUACCGGAUGAGCUUUUCUGACCGCAUGGUCGGGGAAGGAAAAGGCAGCCUCUGCAUAGCAAGCUGUCGUUCGCGGAUGGGCCCGCGUCCCAUUAGCUAGUUGGUGGAGGUAACGGCCCACCAAGGCGACGAUGGGUAGCCG
rnacentral:rRNA from 1 species